rnacentral:rRNA from 1 species
GACGGAGGGGGCUAGCGUUGUUCGGAAUUACUGGGCGUAAAGGGCGCGUAGGCUGCCAUGUGUGUCAGGUGUGAAAUCCCAAGGCUUAACCUUGGAACUGCUCCUGAAACUGCAUGGCUUGAGUGAGUAAGAGGCGGACGGAAUUCCGAGUGUAGCAGUGAAAUGCGUAGAUAUUCGGAGGAACAUCGGUGGCGAAGGCGGUUCGCUGGUACUCUACUGACGCUGAGGCGCGAAAGCGUGGGGAGCAAACAGG